AUGAAUGAGCAACAUUUAAAUACACUUACCCUUUGGAGAGAUCAACUUACUCCCUCGGUUAAAGACUACUAUUGGAGGGAUUGCUUCUCUCGUAUCUUGUUCCUUCAAGAAGUUCUGCAAGAAAUGGAUAUGGUCCGGCUGCCACUCUGGACUUGGGCACAAGAUUUGCUGUGGCCCUUGACCCCUGAGUCAGUCUCACACUGCGGAAAGAAGCAGCAGCUUGGAGCUAGAAGAUCUCAAUUCCAGACCAGUUCCACCCACUCUCUGAGGCUUAGUUUCCUUCCGAGGAUCAAUGAGAUGAAAGUGCUGUGUGAAGCAAUAUUAACUAUAAGGAAUAAUAUUCUACGGAGUUCAUCUCUUCAAUUAACCUGUGGAUCCCUAAUUACCCACAUGUAUUUUGCAAGUAAAAUCCAACUUUUUCAAGUAGCAUAUUCACCAUAUGCAACUGAAAUAUGCAAGCCGGGUUAUGCAAAUGGAAAAAAAAUACAGAUUUAAGUAAGCCUAUUACUCACAGGAGACUUGUGUAUUCAUGAUGCGUUUGGUUUAAAACCAUUAAAAUUUUUAUUCUGUUUAAUGCAUGGUCCUUUUGUGUUAUUGGAGCUCAAUUUGAAUAAGCUAUCUCACUAU
rnacentral:lncRNA from 1 species